UACGUAGGGGGCAAGCGUUGUCCGGAAUUAUUGGGCGUAAAGAGCGCGUAGGCGGUCCGAUAAGUCUGUUGUGAAAGCCCCGGGCUCAACCUGGGAAUGGCAAUGGAUACUGGCGAGCUAGAGUGUGUCAGAGGAUGGUGGAAUUCCCGGUGUAGCGGUGAAAUGCGUAGAGAUCGGGAGGAACAUCAGUGGCGAAGGCGGCCAUCUGGGACAACACUGACGCUGAGGCACGAAAGCGUGGGGAGCAAACAGG
rnacentral:rRNA from 1 species